rnacentral:rRNA from 1 species
GACGAACGCUGGCGGCGUGCUUAACACAUGCAAGUCGAACGGAAAGGCCCUGCUUUUGUGGGGUGCUCGAGUGGCGAACGGGUGAGUAACACGUGAGUAACCUGCCCUUGACUUUGGGAUAACUUCAGGAAACUGGGGCUCAUACCGGAUAGGAGCUCCUGCUGCAUGGUGGGGGUUGGAAAGUUUCGGCGGUUGGGGAUGGACUCGCGGCUUAUCAGCUUGUUGGUGGGGUAGUUGCUUACCAAGGCUUUGACGGGUAGCCGGCCUGAGAGGGUUGCCGGCGACAAUGGGACUGAGAUACGGACCAGACGCCUACGGUAGGCAGCGGGGGGGAAUAUUGCACAAUGGGCGGAAGCCUGAUGCAGCAACGCCGCGUGCGGGAUGACGGGCUUCGGGUUGUAAACCGCUUUCGCCGGUGACGAAGCGUGAGUGACGGUAAUGGGUAAAGAAGCACCGGCUAACUACGUG